GUGGUUUGGGUCGGGUCUGGUAGACCCCUUUUGUCGAGUUGCGAAGUAAAUACGUUGUGUCCGGGGCCGGCAAAGUGUGUCUCGUAAUGACGCGGAGCGAAGGGUGGCGUGAGGCCAGGGGCCGCCGGUCGCUGGCGAGCUGGGGGCGCGGUGGAACGGACGUAAGGUAAGCGGGAACGGCUGGCAGACGGCAAACACCCGUAGCGCCGAAGACGUCGUUGGGUUCCAAACGGCGGCCGCUUUGAUCAAGGGCAGCAGGGAUUACGGAGCGGCUCGUUAGGACACGAGACGAUGACGAGGGAGGUAGGGUACCUGAGGUCUAGGAAAGGACGGACGGACGUCUAGGGGAACAUCAACGUUCCCACUCGUAACAGUCCUUGAGCCCUAUUCUACGUGCCGGAGUUUUCGUUCUAUUGUCCUAGCAUGGGUGGCAACGAAGACAGUCAGAUUCAACACUAGAACACUUAAGUCGGUGGUCCUCUUUAAGGAGAUUUAGAAAUGGAAGAAGUAUCAACUAACCANNNNNNNNNNACACGAUCUACAACCGUCGUUUCAGAACGGGGAACAACUUCAGGUCUAGACGAUCCCUGUACAACUUUUUUACGCUAACCACUAACAGCCCGAUCCUUAACACCGACGGCAUUAGCCUCACUGGUUGUCGUCUCUUGCUACCGUUGUCACCGGUCCCCCCCGAUACCGAUCCAACCACGGGCGGCCCCGGCCUCACCGGCCACCGCCCCACCCUCCGAUCCGAUCAGAUCCGUCCCACCCUCCGAGAUUCUUCUAUAUAAGUACUCAACCAAUACAACCAGUGCCUUUUUUAAGCCCGGUUGAGAGCUUACAGCCUCUUUCCGCACGAGUGGUUACGUGGGAAGACCGAACGAGCCUGUGGCAGUAAAAUUGUACCAAACAAACCUGGAGAGUUUUUACUGGUGUUGAAACGGUGUUUCCCACGUAUACGGGUACCAUCCGUAUAUACAGACCAGACUUACUGUAAGCUAUAGCAAAUGUACAGCGCUGUACACACCGGUAGAUAGCCGGAAAAAAGUAGCGAUAUUAAAGUCUUUUGCGUUUUCAACAGCUUUGGUUUUGGUGAACCGUACCUCGGUACUCAACCAGCACAGUCCAGUACCUUUAUAAAAACCCGUCUAAGAGCCUACAGCUUUUUUACUGCACGAGUGUUUGCGUGGGAAGACCGGAUGGGCUUAUGAUAUUAAAAUUGAAAAAAAAUGGAAACUCCUUAGUGGGUUUGAAAAAGGUGGUACUCCGGUACGGGUACCAUCCGUAGGUACAGACCAAACUCACUGAAAACUGUGGCAAACGUGCAACUCUGUACACACCUGUAAAUAGCUGGAUAAAAGUGGCUUUACUAAGGCCUUUUACGUUUUAAAUAGUUUUUAUUUUGGUGAACCUUACACCGGUACUAAACCAGUACGAUCUAGUGCAUUUUGUACACCCCGGAUAAGAGCCUACAACAUUUUCUGGUAGUGUCUCCACCCAUAUGUAAAAACCAUUUUCUGGAAUGGGAGGAAUAUGCAAAUCACUCUCCCCGCUCCCCAACCAACAUGGGCCCCCCCCCCCCCAGUAAAUGCCAAGUAAAUAGCAUUAAUCACAUACACUUUUAGCUGACAGGAGUACAACCAACACGUACGAGGAUCUCUAAGUUUACUUUCACGAAGUGUGUGUUAUGAAACCACCUGCUACGACUUUGCUACCGAUUAGGUUGGCCGUCACAGACAAACCGGAACUCGAACCUACCACCCUAUACGUCACAGCAGACAGAAAACCAUUGACAGCACGCACUUCGUCACGAGUCUAAGUUUACCGAAAAUCAACGUUUCUACCAAACUAGAUUGGCGAAAAGUUGGAACCUCAAGAUAAAACACCACCUGAGCGGUAGUAGCCACGUCCACGCCGCUAACGAAGUACUUCCGCAUCGUAUCCUCAACACAUAAAAAAUAAAGACCACACGGAAGUGGUCCUCUUUUGUUUUGACGAUUAUAGAACCAUUUAUGCGAGGUUUGGAUCAUCAUCAUCGUGGAUACAUUGUUAAAUACUUGUUAUACACGCAUGUUUGACUAGUACCACAGUCGAGGCGUCGUAUUAACAUUGUCUAUAGUAUAAGGAUCUUUAUCGAAAAUCCUUUUUUGCUACUGAUCUUUGAUUGUUUGAUUUAGGAACCUCAGGCAAAUGUGGUUUUAAACAGUGCCACCUCCAUAUAAGUAUUAUCCUUUUUACUUGAUUAGUUGAAUAACGAAGACUUUAUCCAUUUGACCCUAGAGCGUUAAGUGUACUCGGGGGGAGGAAGCAGUGGGGGCGCAUGCUGACCCNNNNNNNNNNACGGGGUUGUGGAGUGGAGAGAGAAGGGGGAGCAACGUCGGACGUCGGCCGCGCGGUCCCACUUCGGCCGACCGACGCCGCGCCCCUGGAGCAGAGGUGCGAUCCUCCGUCUGCGCGCCCAACACCGAAGCCCGGACCUCCAUCGCCUUUUAUAAGACAUCUCGAAUCCGAAUCCACGUGGGGGAAUAGAUCGGUAGGUAGAGACGUAACGCUAAACACGUUCUCGAAAAGAGAAAAAACAAAGAAGGUUUAUUUUGUUGUAUACUUGAAGUUUGAAACGUCGUGUUGUUUUGUAAGAUUGAUCUUACACCCUUUUUUGAAAAUCUAAAAAAGCACGUAGUAUUCAUGAUUUUUAUUGUAAAAACUUAUUUCUUUUAGGGUAAAACAUAUAAAUACAACCAGUUUUUUUAGACAUUCAAAAAAGAGAGUAACAUCAUUCUUACAAAACGAUAGAACGUUUCAUACUUCAAGUAUACAACAAAAUACACCUUCGUUGUUUUUUCUCUUUUAAAGUGCGUUAUUCAAUCAACAGAUCGUGCCUAGAGUUUCGAUAUGACCUACCAUACCUAUCCUCCACAGGUACUCGGAUUCGAGAUUUUUAAGCGCAGGACCUCCAUCGCGAGCCACGACGACGCACUGCCGGGCGGCCUAGGACAGCUGCCGCUGCAGCACCACACUGCCCGCUGCUCCUCCUCCCGGUUCGAACCAACGGCUCCGCAGCCUCCACCACGUACGCUCCGCCCGCUGACAUUUCACGAUAGGGUUUAAGCGGGCCAGGUCAACACGCCCAGUGUCAGCUAUACCGGACGCCCGUCGGCGGGGACGGAGUCGCUGCCCGACCGGCCACCCCCACCGUCACGUCGCCACCGAUCCGGUGAACGCCACGCCGCAGACGCCCACCAAGGUCUGCCCCCUGGUCCCGCAGAGACGACUAGAGCCCAGUCUAGGUGAGCCUAAACAGGGGAACCAGCCGCCACCCACCGAGCCCCCCUACUGUCGUCGGAAGAUCCAACAACGUUACUGUACCACCGCCAUGUGCCACAACGCCCCGCCAACUGCCGCCGCCGCUCUCUACGAGGUCGCAGACCGGCAACCGCCGGACGCGUACACCUACGGGGGACCCACGAGAGAGCCGCCAUCCACGACAACAUCUGGAAACCGUGGAUACAUAGGCCGGAACCCACUC
rnacentral:rRNA from 1 species